rnacentral:lncRNA from 1 species
CUUGCAAACUCAGUCUCGGUGUCUCUUCCUUUGUAGAUGGUUCUCGGAAUUUGGACACCUCCUGGAACCCUGGAGAUAUUGGAGACCUUGGAGGCUAUGCAAGGCAACCACCUGUGACCACUAGACCAAAUCUUCCUGGACUACUGAGAUUUAUUAGAAGAACACCUUUCUGCAGUGUCAACAAAUCUUGAAUCUCUGGCAUCCUGUCUGAGACCUUCAGAACUCCUAUGUCAAGAGAACAUACAAGAAGUGGUC